UGGACAGAUUAUUGUAUUCGACUGUAUUCACGGCGUGAGAUAGGGGAUUAUACUGUUUUUAAACGGAAAGUGAAUCAAUUAACAUAAUAGACUCCU
rnacentral:pre_miRNA from 1 species